AGAGUUUGAUCAUGGCUCAGGAUGAACGCUGGCGGCGUGCCUAACACAUGCAAGUCGUGCGGUAGCAGGCUUUCACUAUUUGCUUCUCUCUCAUCAAUCAUUGGUGAGGUACAGAGGAGGAAGUGGUGAAAGUGCUGACGAGCGGCGGACGGCUGAGUAACACGUGGGAACGUGCCCCAAAGUGAGGGAUAAGCUCGAGAAAUCGAGUCUAAUACCGCAUAUGAUCUUCGGAUUAAAGCUUUCGAGCGCUUUGGGAGCGGCCUGCGUACGAUUAGAUAGUUGGUGAGGUAAAGGCUCACCAAGUCGACGAUCGUUAACUGGUCUGAGAGGAUGAUCAGUCAGACUGGAACUGAGACACGGUCCAGACUCCUACGGGAGGCAGCAGUGAGGAAUCUUCCACAAUGGGGGCAACCCUGAUGGAGCAACGCCGCGUGCAGGAUGAAGGCCCUCGGGUCGUAAACUGCUUUUAUUAGCGAAGAAUAUGACGGUAACUAAUGAAUAAGGGUCGGCUAACUACGUGCCAGCAGCCGCGGUCAUACGUAGGACCCAAGCGUUAUCCGGAGUGACUGGGCGUAAAGAGUUGCGUAGGCGGUCGGUAAAGCGAAUAGUGAAAGAUGAUGGCUCAACCAUCAGAACAUUGUUCGAACUCACCGACUCGAGAAUGGUAGAGGUAGCUGGAAUUUCCUGUGUAGGAGUGAAAUCCGUAGAUAUAGGAAGGAACACCAAUGGCGUAGGCAGGCUACUGGACCAUUUCUGACGCUGAGGCACGAAAGCGUGGGGAGCGAACCGGAUUAGAUACCCUAGUAGUCC
rnacentral:rRNA from 1 species